AUAAAUAUAGUUUAAAAAACAUUAUAUUUUCAUUAUAAAAUUAAUAUAUAAUUAUAUUUAUUUAUA
rnacentral:tRNA from 1 species